CACUUCUUCUGAUUCUCUUACAUCCGUCACACCCUUUUUCACACCCUUUGUCACACUCCCUUUUGACUAUUUCUUUUUUCUCUAGUACUUCUUUUAUAAUUAUUAUAAUACAAUCUCAUUAUUGCAUCAGUAUUAUAUAAGAUAUAUUAUUAAUAAACAAUUGAAUUUGUUUGUUCGUUUAUUAGUUCGUAAAUUUUGAGGUUACGAGACAAAACACAGUUGUUUCUAAUAGUACAGUAGAAAACAAUAAAAAAUAGAGAAAAUAAAAGUAAGAAAAUAUGAAUAC
rnacentral:lncRNA from 1 species